UACGUAGGGACCAAGCGUUGUUCGGACUUACUGGGCGUAAAGGGCGCGUAGGCGGCGCGGUAAGUCACUUGUGAAAUCUCUGAGCUUAACUCAGAACGGCCAAGUGAUACUGCAGUGCUAGAGUGUGGAAGGGGCAAUCGGAAUUCUUGGUGUAGCGGUGAAAUGUGUUGAUAUUGGAAGGAACGCCGGUGGCGAAAGCGACACACUGGACCUUGUCUGACGCUGAGGCACGAAAGCCAGGGGAGCAAACGGG
rnacentral:rRNA from 1 species